GCUCCGAUGGUGUAGUCCGGCCAAGCAUUUCGGCCUUUCAAGCCGACGACCCGGGUCCAAAUCCCGGUCGGAGCA
rfam:Thermoplasmatales archaeon B_DKE contig-0, whole genome shotgun sequence.